rnacentral:lncRNA from 1 species
UCCGGCCGCGCGCGGGCGCAGGGAGGCUAGCAGAGCUGGGACCCGCUCCGCGCGCAGCCGGUGGGGCAGAGCAGCAGGCGGAUUAUGCGCAGGGAGAAAGAAGUUCACCCCGGCGCGUCUCAGAUUCCCAAGUGCGGCUCGCUCAGAGCCUCUGCCCCGCCCCCGAUUAUAUGCCUUUUUUUUUUUUUUUAAACCAACAAUCCUGAUGGACUGAAAGACAGGAAGAGUGAAGAGGGUGGGUUGCGGGGUGUGGGGAGAGAAACCCAAUUUCCUCUGAUCAAACGAUUUAGGUGGGGAUGCCUAUUUGAGUUCCUUCUCCUUUGGGGUGUGUGUGAAGGGGGCAGUUAAUUAAACACUUAGAUUCUUUCUGGCGCGCCUAGCCGCUCUGGGGAUCCGUUUGGACUCGAUCCUAUCUCGUGUAAUCCCACAGGAUGAUCUGAGUCUCUGCCCCGGAACCGGAGGAGUGAUUUUCCGAGGAAGAAGCCAAAGUUCAGCCUCUAGUCCAUUCCCUUCCCCGCCUCGACGGCUCUGGUCGUGUCCAUGAAAACUCAGUGUGGGGGGUCGUGCCCGCGAGAACCUCAGCCCACCGCAAUGUCCAGAGCCUGACCCAAAAAAAGCAAAACUGCCAGUCUCAGAAUUUUUCAGAACACCAAGUCUUUUCGAUUUUCGUUGGGAAUAAAGCAAAGGAAUACUCAGCAAAAAUGGAGCCGAUGAAAAAGAGGAUGCAAGGAAAUAAAGGCAAAUGGAGGAGGAAACGGUCUAAAUCCAGGAAAAUGUUUGGCUUCAGCACUGUGCUCUGUAAUUCUGACUCAGAUCUCCCCACGCUGUAGGUACUUUCUCCUCUCUAGAUGCCCAGGCAGAGUUCCUGAGCUCAGAUCACUCAGGAAACAAGGCUGUUGCUUUUGAAAUAAUUCCACUUGCUAGUGGUUUGUUUUUGUUUUGUUUUGUUUGUUUGUUUUUUUGUUUUUGAGACGGAGUUUCACUGUUGUAGCCCAAGCUGGAGUGCAGUGGCGCGAUCUCGGCUCACUGCAACCUCCGCCCCGCCCCCGUGUUCAAGCGAUUUUCCUGCCUCAGCCUUCUGAGUAGCUGGGAUUAUAGGUGCCUGCCACCACGCCCAACUAAUUUGUGUAUUUUUAGUAGAGACGGGUUUUCCUCAUGUUGGCCAGGCUGGUCUCGAACUGCUGACCUCAGGUGAUCCGCCUGCCUCGGCCUCCCAAAGUGCUAGGAUUACAGGCAUGAGCCACUGAGUAAGGCUGCAACUUCUUUUUAAAAAUAGCAUUUUUGUGUAUUGAAUUGUGUCCUUCAAAAUUUCGUGUUGAAGUCCUUACCUGCAGUACCUCAGAAUGCC